rnacentral:rRNA from 1 species
CUUGGUCAUUUAGAGGAAGUAAAAGUCGUAACAAGGUUUCCGUAGGUGAACCUGCGGAAGGAUCAUUAGUGAACGCCCUUCAUGGGUUUAAACUAUUCCAAACCUCUGUGAACCGUGCCCCUCGGGGCUAAUUUUACAAACAUGGUGUAAUGAACGUCAUAACUUUAACAAAACAAAACUUUCAACAACGGAUCUCUUGGCUCUCGCAUCGAUGAGGAACGCAGCGAAAUGCGAUAAGUAAUGUGAAUUGCAGAAUUCAGUGAAUCAUCGAAUCUUUGAACGCACCUUGCACCCUUUGGUAAUCCAAAGGGUACACCUGUCUGAGUGUCAUUGUAAUCUCACUCCACCGGCUUUUUGUUGAUGGAUGUGGACCUGGACCCUGUUGUGUUAUUACAACUGGUCUGAAAUGCAUGAGUGCACCCUGCUGUUGCAGCGUUUUCAGUGUGAUAAGCAUCUUCACUGGAUCAAGUUCCCUUGGGACACGCAGGCAUUGUGGGCUCUGUGCUGGCAAACCGUCUUUGGACAAGCUUGACAAUUUGACCUCAGAUCAGGUGGGACUACCCGCUGAACUUAAGCAUAUCAAUAAGCGGAGGAA